GCUUGGCUUUUCUCAUCUAAACAUCGUCGUAUUUUUACAGCCUGAUCCAAAAUCCGUGUCCAAUGAAAAGGAAGAAAAAAAUUGAUAGAGAUCGAUGCUUCCGAUAAUAGGGAUCGCCAGCUCCCAUCUCCACUCUCGUGAUACGGUCAGUUGCCACCAUCCCUGACUGAACAGAACUUUUGGCGACGGGAUUGGAAUCGAGGAUCAACGUCUCUCUAUGCUGCAAAAACUUUCUCUUUGCCAUAACCUAAUUAGAAUCGAUGAUUGGAGGCACACCAAUGGUGUAUCUAUAUAGAAUCAUUGAUGGAUGUGUGGCAAAUAGUGCUGCAAAGCUCUAACCAAUGGAGCUUUAUAGAAGAAGCGUCAAGGAAAGGAUCGGUCUUGGCAUGAUUAACGAGGCAUAAGAUAGAAGACCCACAAGUUAUUGUCGUAAUAAUCGAUCUUAAGGCACAACAAGAGGAUUCACAGGGCUUUGGCUCUUUGAUUUCACUGGAGAAAGACAGAGGAAGUGCAAGCUGAGAAGAAUCAUAGGAUAUCAUUGGUGUAUUGCAACAGUCUUAGUUUCAGUAAUUCAAGAACUCCCAGAUUUGAAGGAGAAGCAGAAAUUCUCAGCAAUUGUACCAUCACACAAGGAAGAUGAAGAUGAUGGUGUUUCUUGGUAGAAGACACCAACGCUGGAGAAAGAAGAUACACGAAGUCAGAUCCAAUGGGAAAUGAGGAUUUCUGAUUUGGUAUAUUAAAUCAGUAACUAGAUCUUACCAUUCUAGAUCCUGGAAAAGUGAACUCGCUGGUAGUUGUUAUGAUCAGAAGAAUGGUAAGAUCUAGAGAAUGAAAAAGAACUCUCAAAUCAGCGAGUUUGUUCUUAACGUGACGGUCAUAAGAAUCGUUUGAGGAUGGUGUUUGGUGAAGGUCUCUCAUCAGUAUAUGUUUCUAGAUUGAAGAUAUACACGAGUAUGGUUCUUUGGCUAAAGGUCUCUUCAAAAGUCAUCAUGUUUCAUUUAAAGGCUCAAAUUUGGAAGAAAAUUGUUUUCUUUCUGCUGCAAUAUCGAUAUGGUUUUUUUAAUUGGUGUACUGAUUUCUCGUGGUCUUAUAAUUCGAAAGUUUAUAACA